UAUUUCUCGUAUCUUUCUCGUAAGUCUCUCGCAAGGUUCUCGUAAGUCUGGCAGGUGUCUUAUGAAAAUUAUCGUAGCUACGAUAUCGUAAGUUUCUACACAAAAUCCUCGUAAAGUUACGAGAGGGUCAGGGGUCUCGUAAAUACUUAAGAUAUCGUAAAUAAAACGGCGGCAUCCGUGUGAGCAACCACUACGAAACUUUUCUGCCGAAAAUACUACAGAUUGUUCUGCAGUAAAACUUGAUUAUCCGUGUACAUGUUGCACAACAGUGGAUGAACUACGUCAUCGAUCAUACAGCACGCGCUUUUGGUCAGUGCGACACGAAGCAGAAGCGAGUGUUAAAACACAAAAAUUCUGUUUAUCUUCGCUUCCUGUGUUGUCAGAUCAAAUGGAGGAACAUGCUGAAUGCCAGAAGAUAUUACAGACAACAAUACUGCUCAGUGCAGUAACCAGACCUGGAAAAAAGCACUGCUCAAGGCAAACUUUUGGGACAGAGCGCUGCAUACAUGGGUUUACGCACAAACUGAGAUUUUGCAAGUCCACUGUCAAAGUCAUAAAGGGAGAUGGUGGACAAUGUUGAACAUUGAGUUGAAGUCCUGGAAUCUCGGUCAACUGCAGAUAGCAGCAUGACGUAAAGCAGACGUCUUGUUUCCCACUCGAAUUUUAGUCAGGUAUUCUUGGUGGUAUGUGACAAAU